UGGGGAAUUUUGGACAAUGGGCGCAAGCCUGAUCCCGCAAUGCCGCGUGCAGGAUGAAGGCCUUCGGGUUGUAAACUGCUUUUGUACGGAGCGAAAAGGUCUGCCCUAAUACGGUGGGCUCAUGACGGUACCAUGUGAAUAAGCACCGGCUAACUCCGUGCCAGCAGCCGCGGUAAUACGGAGGGUGCAAGCGUUAUCCGGAUUCACUGGGUUUAAAGGGUGCGUAGGUGGGUUGGUAAGUCAGUGGUGAAAUCUCCGGGCUCAACCUGGGAACUGCCUUUGUGACUGCAUAGCUAGAGUACGGUAGAGGGGGAUGGAAUUCCGCGUGUAGCAGUGAAAUGCGUAGAUAUGCGGAUGAACACCGAUGGCGAAGGCAAUCCCCUGGACCUGUACUGACGCUCAUGCACGAAAGCGUGGGGAGCAAACA
rnacentral:rRNA from 1 species